AUAAAUUACCAUGAUAUCACACAUUUAUUACAUUCUGAAAUGUCAUUAGUAAAACCUUUGAAAAAAUAAAGCAUGGCCGACACAAGCUCUGUGGCGGAUGAGACUGUUAAAAAUGAAAAUGAAGAGCAGGAAAAUGAAGAUGACAAUGAAGUUGUAAAUGAUGAGGAAGGAACUGAAGCCUCCCAAAAGAAAAAGAAUAAAAAGAGAAAAAAGAAGACAGAAGACUUAGAGGGAAAAGUCAAUGGAGUUGCUGAUGAUUUGGAAAAACAGAAGAUCAAUGAUGCUCAAGGGAAAGGAGCCAGUAAAGAAGCUGGUGAAGGACAAAAGAAAAAGAAGAAAAAGAAGAAGAACACGGGACAGAGACAACAGACUAGUCCCCCAACCAUCCCAAUAUCAGAACUGUUUCCUGACGGGAACUACCCAGAGGGCGAAAUAAUGGAAUACCCAGUAGUGCAAGACUGUACAACAGCUAAAGACAGAAUGACAAAUGAAGAGAAGCGAGCUCUGGAUAGGGCUAACAAUUACAUUUACCAGGAAGUCAGGCAAGCUGCUGAGGCCCACAGGCAGACAAGAAAAUACAUGAAAGAAUAUAUUAAACCUGGAAUGACCAUGAUUGAUAUUUGUGAGACGUUGGAAACCUCGGCCAGGAAGUUGAUCAAUGAAAACAAGCUGGAGGCGGGGCUUGCGUUCCCGACAGGGUGCUCCCUGAACCACUGCGCUGCCCACUACACGCCCAACGCUGGGGACCCCACUGUACUGGGGGUCGACGAUGUCUGCAAAAUCGACUUUGGAACACACAUUAAUGGAAGGAUAAUAGACAGUGCAUUCACCUUAACUUUCAACCCGAAAUACGACAGAUUACUUCAAGCUGUUAAAGAUGCAACUAACACAGGCAUCAAGGAGUCGGGUAUAGAUGUGAGAUUAUGUGAUGUUGGGGAGAGGAUCCAGGAAGUGAUGGAGUCUUAUGAGGUGGAAUUAGAUGGCAAAACUUAUCAGGGUAUUUGGUCUUGUUUUUAACUCCAUUAUGGUAUAACAUGAUUUUAUUUAUCUGAUGAAUAAGCAUAUAAUUUAGAAUUUUGAUUAUUAGAAUCUUUUGAAAAUAUGUAUACCUUUAGAAAAAGAUACAAAAAUUAUAAAAGAUAACGGUUGAUGAGUUUAAAAAACCCAGAUAAUUGAUGAUGGACAAGGUAGAUAUUUUGUCAUUGUUUUACAAAAAUGACAAUCCUGCUUCAACAUGUCUAUUAAUUUUUUUGUCAAAUCCAUACGCAAUCUCAAUGGUCACUCCAUCAGUCCGUAUAGGAUCCAUGCCGAGAAAUCCGUCCCAAUCGUAAAGGGAGGGGAGGCCACAAGAAUGGAGGAAAUGGAAUUUUAUGCCAUAGAGACUUUUGGAAGUACAGGAAAAGGGGUUGUCCAUGACGAUAUGGAAACAUCCCAUUACAUGAAGAAUUUCGAAGUUGGAUACGUCCCUCUGAGGGUACAAAAGUCCAAGCAGCUGCUGAGCGUGAUAAACCAGAACUUUGGGACAUUAGCCUUCUGUCGGCGCUGGCUGGACCGACUGGGACAGACUAAAUACCUCAUAGCACUCAAAAACCUGUGUGAUGUGGGUAUCCUGGACCCCUGUCCCCCUUUGUGUGACACCAAGGGGUGCUACACGGCCCAGUUUGAACACACCAUCCUCCUCAGACCCACUUGUAAAGAGGUCAUCAGCCGUGGUGACGAUUACUAGAAACAAGGAGGAAGCAAUCCUGCUUUAUCUGUUCCCUGGUUAUAUAGUAUUUUUUCCUUUAAAGAUUUUUAGUUGUUUCAUUUAUUGUUUUCUUCAAGACUGGCAGUUAAUGAUAUUAAUGAAAAGAACUCUUUAGAUAAACGGUCAACUGCGAUGCAUGUUGAAAAUUGAUAAAACAGGAAAUUUUUCAAAAGCAUAAUCAUUUUUUAAAAUAAUGUCAGGAAAUCACAAUGGAGGAAAGUGAUAUAAUAGGUGAUUGAAACAUAAUUAUGCAAUGCAGAAUAAAGAGUUAUCAG
rnacentral:misc_RNA from 1 species